AUUUGAUGCUGUGGGCAUCUAGUGCACAACUUAUUAAAUCUCUCCUAAUAGUCAUAUAGGAAUUUCUCCAGGAUACUGAUUAAUACUGCAUAUCUCCUUUCUCAGACU